rnacentral:rRNA from 1 species
AAGUCGUAACAAGGUCUCCGUUGGUGAACCAGGCGGAGGGAGCAUUACUGAGUUCUACACUCUGCUACCCUUUGGUGAACUAUUAUAGCCUGUUUGCUUCGGCGGCGCCCGCAAGGGUGCCCGCCGGUCUCAUCAGAAUCUCUGUUUUCGAACCCGACGAUACUUCUGGGGGGGAGUUUGUUCUUAGCGAACUGUCAAAACUUUGUAACAACGGAUCUCUUGGCUCCAGCAUCGAUGAAGAACGCAGCGAACGCGAUAUGUAAUGGUGAAUUGCAGAAUUCAGUGAAUCAUCGAAUCUUAUGAACGCACAUGGCGCCUUCCAGUAUCCUGGGAGGCAUGCCUGUCCGAGCGUCGUUUCAACCCUCGAGCCCCUGUGGCCCCGGCGUUGGGGGAUCUGCCACGGCAGGCCCUAAAACCAGUGGCGGACCGAAGGGCCCUCUCCUUUGCGCAGUAGCAUUCGCCUCGCAUCGGGAGUCCUCGGCGUCCUGCCUCUAAACCCCCACAAGCCCGCUUCGGCGGCACCAAGGUUGACCUCGGAUCAGGUAGCGAAUACCCGCUGAACUUAA